UGGUGUCCCAAAGGGACCCAUCCGUGGUUCAUUUUCCUGUUCACCUUUUGGAUUUUAGGAUGUCUUCCCACCGUCAUAUUCCAUCCUAGGAAUCGAUGACUAGUGGCACUAUCAAUGGUUCCCAUUUCAUUGGCAAUGCCAUUUCCCACGAAAUGCUCGUUCCUGGCGAUGCAUCUCAAUCUAGGACAGGCCCAGGUGGGUCCACUAAGGCUCGAUCAUCCUCGUGCUUCGACCUUGUAGAUUUUGUUUUUCCUAAGGCGGAGGGUUCCUCUAUCUUGAAGAGCCUCUACCAUGCCCUAGGUCACGCUUCUCAUGAGGAGGUAUCCCUCUUUCCUACCAUCACGAAGACAGUGAUAAGGGAUAUGAAGGAGUGGGUUCCCCGGGUAUUGAAUCUUCUGUGAAGGAGAUGGAUGAACUUGUCAUACUUGCCGAGAAAUCAUGGAUUUGGAAUAUUUGACUGAACUGCAUGAGUUGGCUAAGAGGGCAUUGUAUCUCGCUCGUGCGACUUUGGAGCGACCGAGGUCUGACGGCAUUAGAAAUGCCGACAGUGCCAUUUCGAAUGGCGCCCAAACGCAAACUCGGUUGGGGUUUUUAUAAAGCCCCAACUUGUUCACUUGCAUUCAUCUUUGUCCACUUUGAGCCUUAGUAGCCCUCUCUGAGUUUCUUGGUGGGAGUAUUUUCUUUUUGCCCCCUUUCCUCUCUCAUUCGCUAGGAUUUCGAAGCUUGCCGGAAUCCUGACCGGAGUUUGUGAAUCUUGCUCGAAAUCGAAUCUGAAAAUCUGAAAAAGACAAUGAGUUGGAGAACACUUGGUUCUUCGAAGGACAACAUAUCAGGGUCAGUUUACGGGAAAAUAAGGUACAAUGGAAAACUCUUUUUCAUUUGAUGUGAUAUUUCAAUUUCCUCGUUUUUCUUCCUCGUAUCCUAAAAUUUCUUGUAAGUAUGGGGGGUUUGAAGUGUCGUGAUUCUUUUGGUACAGAAACCCCCAAAUUUGAUGGGUGAUUUUGGGAUCUUGAGCUCGCUGAAUUUUUUUUUUUUAUUCAUAAAAAAAAGUCAUGGGGUUGCCCGGAAUGGCAACUCCAAUUAUUCUUUUUGUUGGGGUUGGGAUUUCUGCCCACCCCGAAACUGGUUUGGUCAUUUUUUGGCAAUUUUUGGGUGAUCUCGGGUGGCUCAAGGAACUUCCGGCCAGCUGACCGUUAGUGCUUUUUGGAAUGGCGUUGGUGGCACUUCGAGUGCCGCCAUGGGUUCUGUGCCCUUCUGUGAUAUGUGGGUCCCGUUUGGUGGGGUCUCGACCUAUUUCGAGCAUUUUGGGUUUUUUUAGUCCAUUAGGGUUGAGCCCCUAUUCCUUGCCUUCUCACCAUCAUCAUUAUUUUAUUUUUAUUUUUUUUCUCGUUUGGACCCUAAAACCAAUUUUGUGUUUGGAUUUUGAAUGACCCUUGAAAUGGUAUCGCUCCAUUUCGAGGCACAAUGGAGUGAGCUUUUGACGCUUUCUCUCCUAUCCCAUUUCAUAGAGCAAGGAAGGACUCAUAUGCCCAUCUUGAUGAUUCUUUUCCUUUUUCAUUUUACAUAUGUAUAUUCUUCCUUGUGUUUUUUUUUGUCUGUCCUAUCCUUGAAAUUAUAGGAUGGAUUAACCUGAUGGAUUAUAGUUGGGUUUUUACCAUUGCAUUCCCCUAUCAUGCUAAUAUUUAGAUAUGGGGAUUUUAUCUUGACAUUUUUCUUAUCCCAUUGUACCCCUCUUUCUUCUACUGACCAUUUAUAUGGGGUACACUGGGGGGCGAGGAUUCUUCCUCCUCGGUUGGUCAGGGAGGUCCUGGAUAUCGGCCUAUGGGAGGUAUGUCAGAUCGAUGCCUUCCCGUUGGACAUGGCACUCAUUAAUGCUCUAGUUCACCUAUUUCAACCCGAGACCAGGACUUUCCCCUUUCCUUGUGAGGAAACCGGUAUCACUCUGGAGGCUGUGACUCGGAUCCUUGGGGUUGGGAGUGAUGGGCUACCUCUUCGUUGUGACCCUCCUUUUGAUGACCGUUCUUUUUGGGGAGAGGUCAUAGAGAUGUUGGGAGAUGUUCCUCCCAAGGAGCGAAGGUGGGACGAAAAGUCCUUGCCUUGAGUUGGAUUAUAGAGGCUAUAAGAGGUAUAAAGCUCCUGCGGUUAGAGGUCGAUGAGCACUCAAGGAGUGUACUGAGGGCUUGGGCUACGAAAUUGCCUGUCAGGCCCAAGACACGAGUUAAGAGCGCCCAGCGACUAAUGUAUCUGAUGCUUCUAUUGAGGCUCAAGAGCCCGUGUUGGAACCGCAGGAUGAGGAGAGAGAGGAUUCUUCCUCUUCUUUGGCUUCAUCCUCCGUGAUCGACUCUAAGGAUUGGAUGGCAAACGAAGAAACUGUUACAGCGACCCCUCACGUAGACUCUUCAGGGGACGAUGCUGAGAACAUAAGUAUUGGUCGUAAGCACCCUAGGAGGGCAUGUACCCUCAGGGAGCUCGAGAGAAAGGGGCGUCCCAUUCUUGAUCUGCCAGCCCGUGACUAGGUAGAUGAUUUCAUCGAAGGUGCCAUCCCCUUAGCUGAUGUUUUGGCUAGAGAGACCCCUAGAGCCAGUGGAGUAGGGGCCGCAGCCACUUCUGUGGGGUCGGCCCGUAUCGAGAGAGUUAUUGGGGAGUCCGAGCCCUUGGGAGCUGACUAGGGUACUCCUGCAGAGAUCGAGGGAGAGGCCCAGACUAAGGCUGAGGAGUAUAUUCCUGAGGAUAGGGGAGUCUUCAGCCCCGACUAUGAUCCUCUAGGUGAUGGUGAGCUUGCCGUGGCUGAUAGGCAGACAGUUCGCGGUUUCCUGGUGUAUCUUUUUGGUUCCCUUCUAUUUCCUGACCCUUCGAAAGGUAAUCCCCGUGUUCAGUUUGUGUGGAUCAUUCGAGACCUUGAGUAUCUCCAUCAGGUGGCAUGAGGUCUGUCCACACUAACUUUUCUUCUUUAGGGGAUGCGAGAGGCCGCUCUUGAGCAUGUUCGGGUUUGGGAACGUAUUGUUGUGACUAGGCCCCUUGUUUCGAGGACCGCCGAGCGUUUUCAUCGUAUCCAUCAUUGGGCGCGGGGCAAGCAAGCUUUUGUCCAGGCUUUUGCUGUGGAUCAUUACACCUUGAAUUUCGACGUUAUGGAGGAAAAUGAGAUAUAAGAGCCUUCCCUCAUUCCAUUCUUAUGUCCCAACCCCUUUCGCUUCCUUACUCUCCUUUUUGCAAUCACAUGGGCAUCUGUGUCUGGUGAUGAGCACUGAUAGAUAGUGGAGAAGUCUCAGGAGGUAUUUUUUACGACCUCUCCUUUGAUUUGUAUGAUGUCAUGGAGGCCUACUACUUGUACCGACUCCUUCGGCAUUUCAGAUAUAUCCAGGUGGAGCUACCUGAUGUAAAUGUCUUCACCAUCCUUGAGAUCAGCUUGUGACGAGAUUACCAGCAGAACUCAUCUCCUUUUCUCACCCAAUGGGUUCAGCACCAUGCAUUGCAAGUAGACCCUCCAAAUCACAUUACACUUGAGGAGGUGGAUCAUUUCCGCCAUGCCUAUACAUGGUUUGUGUACGAGGUUGCCUGUCGCUCUCCUUGACAUAAGAAGUUCUCGGUUGAAGCCUAUGCAGUUGAGGAUAUGCGAGCUGAGCGUAAUGAUUUUAGAUCGAGGCUGUGACAGUUUCAGCAGCACGCUCAGUUGCCGAGAGAGCAUGAAGAUGUUGUUCAGAGUCAAUCCCAGAUAGAGCAUGAGAGGGACUCCCUUAGUCAGAGUCUUCGUGAUAUUUCUCAUAUGGGAUCUCCUCUUCCAUGCGUGGGUUCUUCGGGCGUUCCACUUAUUCCACAGACUUCUCAGGGGCUUUCGCCUAGAGAAGCCAUGCAUUUUCGUUCUCGAAUCAUUCUUUACCAGUCUGAGUGCUGGCGCCUUUGAGUUGAGAGGGUAGACGAUCAGGAGGCAUCUUCAUCCCAUCGUCCUUCCUUACUCCCAAAGCCCUGCAUUUUGAUAGACAGUUGUUUCUUGGGUUUUACAUGCCCUUAGUGGUUGAUCCUUUUGGAUUUGUGUUAUUUUUCUGCGAUCACCACAUAUUUUUUAUUAUGUUGUUCACAUGGAUGAUUCUAUCGUCUUUUGCUAAUCACAUGGUAUGCCCAUUGAUUGCAUA